CGCGCUGCGGUACCGACCCGGUCCGGCGACCGGCCCCGCUCCACGGCGGGCAGCCCGAUAGGCACAGGGAGCGAGGACCGGGAGCUGGAUGGCGGUGUGGAGGCCUGAGGCGAAGGCUAAGCCUGCCCCUCCCCGGGCCGCCUUCAGCGAGCUUCGGCGCGGGUCUCCGCGUUGAGAGAAGUGAUGAGUCAGGUUUGCUCGGCUCCAUGCUAAUGCACGGAGAUGGAGGGUGUAAUUAGUAGAGAGGCAGGGCUGUGAUCUGCAGCGCGGGGCGGCCGGGCCACGCACCUCCUCUGUGCUUCAGAGCGUCGCUGAAGUUCUCCUUGUUUCGUGCUCCUCCAGCCCCAACGGUGUAUAUGCAGGGUUUGGUGGGAGCAGAGCCACAGACGUCGGAAGGUGUCUGUGUGUGAAGCACCCCGCGUUAUGUAAUUCUGAUGUUGAAAGAUGACGGUAAGAAGGAUUUGAUUUAGUCAUGGAAACUGAAUAUUGCGGCUCCCCAAAUCUCUAAGAAGUCUUAGGAUGUUGCAUACAGCGUUCUCAAGGUUUCUCCCGUCCAAGUAAUUGUAAAUGGCCCGCUUGAGAGCUGUGAUCUGCUUUAUAUGCUUUCAUCCAUUAGAAUACCUCUUGUCUUUGCAAAACGACACAUUGUGUAAUUUAGGCAACUGGCUGGGCUAAGAAGGGCACAAUGAAGUGAGUAAUUUACAUCUCUUAGGGAGAUUAAUUGAACCCAGCUCUGGUCGUCUUCAAGAACUACUGAGAAGUUUCUCGGCAAACUUCUCCACCCGAAGUAAAAUCACAGCCUCCGCCACCUUGCCCCUUCCAGCAGCUUCUGAAGGAAUCUUCACCUCAAACAGAGCUGUCAGCAGCAGUGAGGGCUGCCACUCACCAGUCAUUUCAAUGCGGAAAGCACUCGAGACACAGCAACAGGCAACAGAACGCAGCGCUCACAGAGAAACAAAUUGACAAGUACCCACGACUGGACAUCCUCAGAAACACGGUUGUGUCCUGUUCCUCUCCACUGCAGUUAUUCCCACUCAGAGUGACCACUUCAGAGCUUUAACAAAGCCCAUUACAAACGGGAACAUUUUCCGUUAGCCAAGUGAGUGUGAAAGUAAAGCUGACACGUAAGGCAACUUACAAUUGGAGAAAUUUGAUAUCUAGUCUCUGUUCUGCCACAAACUUCUUGUGAGAGGAGGAGGGACAUACUCUCCCAGAUGCCUGAAGUACUCUGUGAACUACCUCCCUUAAACUAUAAGCACUUAAGUACCUUUGUGGCUCCCAGACUUGCCAUUCAGCUGUUUAGUGUCUGAGAACUCUCAAGAGAAACAUACACUUUGUGUUUCAUUGUUUCUGGAAACAAUACAGCAAAUAGAAGUCGACUAACC
rnacentral:lncRNA from 1 species